AUAAGUUCUGAAGCGUAUUGUGCGAACCAAUACGGACGGGUACCAACAUUCUGCUUAACUCAACUGCGACACUCAUUCGUGGAGAAGUCUUUUUAUAAUUGAGAUUUCGACUAUGUCUAAAUCGGUACUUAGUUAACAAUAGGCGUACCAUUCUGAAGAAGCCAAAUCAAACUGCAAGACGCUGCAAAACUGCUUGCUGAGACAACUUUAGCUAGAAUAACAUAUUUCGACAAUUUCGACUUUUCUCGAAGUUUCUAAGCAGGAUUACUUUUAUGUUAUUCUUAAAGUAAUUAUAACAAUUGUAUCGAAAAACCAUAUUCUGCAACACAUAAUAUGUACAUAUGUAAUAAUGAUGUUUUUUGAAUUCCCUCAAAUACACGUAUGCAAUAAGGCUUU